rnacentral:misc_RNA from 1 species
GUUUCCCCUCCGUCCUCCCACCCACAAUAGUGGAUCCAUCAACGGCGAUUUCAUCUUCCGCAUCGAAUCCGGUGGCGGUUGAUCUGGCCUCCCCACGGCAGGUCCACCAUGGCUCCAGGGAAGAGGUCCACACGGACCUUAUAGACACUGGAAGGCUUCCAACCUCACGUGCAUGUGUUUCAUUCAUUUCCACAUAUGUUGGAUUGCAUCUCUAGAACCCACGCUAGCUGAUUAUGAUAAAAUAAGGGCUAUGAAUAUGAUGAAGAACAAUCAAUUAUUUCAACGACUAGGCCUUGCACAAUUGAAAUUAUUUAUGACUGCUACAACUGCAAACAACAUACAAGAAUGUCCUCAGCAAUCAGGGAGUUUAUAUGAUGGUGAAGACACCGAUGGUUCUAAUGAAGAGGUCACCCAUGGAAUCCCAAAGUCGUAAGUGUGUUCGUGCCAACAUCUCCAACGAUGGUGAUCAGAUCUCAACAAAAGUAACAAGAGGAAAUAAAAGAAUUGUGGCACCUCCACAGGAGCGAAUAAUUAGAGUUACUAGGCAAAGAAUUGCUGAAAUAAACCAAGAAACUACCCACAACUUGUCUGUUCCUAUGCAGCCCAAUUCAUAUCCUGCUACAAACCAUGAAUCGAUUGAAACUCUUGUUGCUUCUUCGCAUCCUAGUUCAAAUGCUACCGCAGAUCAUGACCCAACCCACAACAUAGAUAUUGCUACAGAGCAUAAUUCUUUGUUACAGGAGGAGGAGGAUAAACACAAUGUUGUUGAAGGAACAAUAGAAAUCAUACCAAGGAGAAAAAGUAUGGGCAAGCAACUUGAAUUGUUAAGCAGAGGACUAGGAAUGAAGAUUCCAAUCCAGAUUACUGAAGGGAACAAAAGGCCAGAGCCACCUAUUCAAGCUGCUAAGUUUGCAUCAGACGGGGGAAUCACUUUGAGGUAACACGUUCCAAUAUUUCACCACUGGAAGGAGUACAGAAGAAACAGAAUGAACCUACAAUAAGAAACUAUAUUGGAAAAGUUACUCAAUUCACCAUGUACAAUGAAAGCAAGGCAGUGGAAGAUGCAUGUCUAGAAAUGCUAAAGGGUGGACAACGCCAAAUCAGGUAUAGACUGAAACAAAAAUAUUUCAAUGGGAUACCUGCUAAUGAAGUCAGGACUUCAUCGCCUAUUCCAAGCAUGUCUGAUGAGGACUGGAGAAAGUUGGUGGAGAAGUGGUCUACCACAAAACACAAGAAGCAAGAGAAAUAUAUGGAUAUUAAACCAAGUGCAAUAGAUCUUUUCAAGGACAUGCAUUGCAGCAAGAAGAAUGGUUUUUUCUGAAAAUGUUCAGAAAGCAAUUGUUGACAUGGAAGCAAUGGUGAGAGCACCAGCUGAGGAUGGACAACAGCAGAUGUCUCCAAUGGAAGUUGUUUCUGAAGUGCUAUCAGGCUCUAGUUUGUUCCUACGGAAUGUUGGUCUGCAAACUACCUCCAAGAAAAGCUUCACAACUGUUUCUGCAAAGGUUCAAGAACUUCAGGAUCAAUUGGAGUCUGAGAGGCAAGAAAAAGAUGGACUUCGGGAGGAAGUUGAAACCUUAAAGGCUCAGGCGCAGGCCUCAAAGGAGA